GACGAACGCUUGCGGCGUGCUUAACACAUGCAAGUCGAACGGAAAGGCCCUGCUUUUGUGGGGUGCUCGAGUGGCGAACGGGUGAGUAACACGUGAGUAACCUGCCCUUGACUUUGGGAUAACUUCAGGAAACUGGGGCUAAUACCGGAUAGGAGCUCCUGCUGCAUGGUGGGGGUUGGAAAGUUUCGGCGGUUGGGGAUGGACUCGCGGCUUAUCAGCUUGUUGGUGGGGUAGUGGCUUACCAAGGCUUUGACGGGUAGCCGGCCUGAGAGGGUGACCGGCCACAUUGGGACUGAGAUACGGCCCAGACUCCUACGGGAGGCAGCAGUGGGGAAUAUUGCACAAUGGGCGGAAGCCUGAUGCAGCAACGCCGCGUGCGGGAUGACGGCCUUCGGGUUGUAAACCGCUUUCGCCUGUGACGAAGCGUGAGUGACGGUAAUGGGUAAAGAAGCACCGGCUAACUACGUGCCAGCAGCCGCGGUGAUACGUAGGGUGCGAGCGUUGUCCGGAUUUAUUGGGCGUAAAGGGCUCGUAGGUGGUUGAUCGCGUCGGAAGUGUAAUCUUGGGGCUUAACCCUGAGCGUGCUUUCGAUACGGGUUGACUUGAGGAAGGUAGGGGAGAAUGGAAUUCCUGGUGGAGCGGUGGAAUGCGCAGAUAUCAGGAGGAACACCAGUGGCGAAGGCGGUUCUCUGGGCCUUUCCUGACGCUGAGGAGCGAAAGCGUGGGGAGCGAACAGGCUUAGAUACCCUGGUAGUCCACGCUGUAAACGGUGGGUACUAGGUGUGGGGUCCAUUCCACGGGUUCCGUGCCGUAGCUAACGCUUUAAGUACCCCGCCUGGGGAGUACGGCCGCAAGGCUAAAACUCAAAGGAAUUGACGGGGCCCCGCACAAGCGGCGGAGCAUGCGGAUUAAUUCGAUGCAACGCGUAGAACCUUACCUGGGUUUGACAUGGAUCGGGAGUGCUCAGAGAUGGGUGUGCCUCUUUUGGGGUCGGUUCACAGGUGGUGCAUGGCUGUCGUCAGCUCGUGUCGUGAGAUGUUGGGUUAAGUCCCGCAACGAGUGCAACCCUUGUUCACUGUUGCCAGCACGUUAUGGUGGGGACUCAGUGGAGACCGCCGGGGUCAACUCGGAGGAAGGUGGGGAUGACGUCAAGUCAUCAUGCCCCUUAUGUCCAGGGCUUCACGCAUGCUACAAUGGCUGGUACAGAGAGUGGCGAGCCUGUGAGGGUGAGCGAAUCUCGGAAAGCCGGUCUCAGUUCGGAUUGGGGUCUGCAACUCGACCUCAUGAAGUCGGAGUCGCUAGUAAUCGCAGAUCAGCAACGCUGCGGUGAAUACGUUCCCGGG
rnacentral:rRNA from 1 species